AUCUCAUUAUAUUAAUAAACUGUAUAAAAUGAUAUUUAAAAAGUUUUUUCUUCAAUUUUCAUAUGUUGAAAUUUUUUGUCAAAGUUGAACUCAUCUCUCGGUAGAACCUCAUAUCAUAUGGCUGCAGUUCAAUAAAAAAUUCACCAAGUCAAAAAAAUCUUUUUCUCAAGUUAAAUUCAAAAUCUUAUCUCAUUAUAUUAAUAAACUGUAUAAAAUGAUAUUUAAAAAGUUUUUUCUUCAAUUUUCAUAUGUUGAAAUUUUU